GCGGCAGGCCUAACACAUGCAAGUCGAACGCUGUAGCAAUACAGAGUGGCAGACGGGUGAGUAACGCGUGGGAACAUGCCCUUCGGUUCGGAAUAACUCAGGGAAACUUGAGCUAAUACCGGAUACGCCCUUAGGGGGAAAGAUUUAUUGCCGAAGGAUUGGCCCGCGUCCGAUUAGCUAGUUGGUGAGGUAAUGGCUCACCAAGGCGACGAUCGGUAGCUGGUCUGAGAGGAUGAUCAGCCACACUGGGACUGAGACACGGCCCAGACUCCUACGGGAGGCAGCAGUGGGGAAUAUUGGACAAUGGGCGCGAGCCUGAUCCAGCCAUGCCGCGUGAGUGAUGAAGGCCCUAGGGUUGUAAAGCUCUUUCGCCAGGGACGAUAAUGACGGUACCUGGAUAAGAAGCCCCGGCUAACUUCGUGCCA
rnacentral:rRNA from 1 species